ensembl:lncRNA
GUGAGGUCAAUGAAGGAAAUCUUGUAUAUCCACAGAUUGAUUCUAUAGAUACUAGAAUGAUGAAGAAAGUUGUCAAGGAACCUCCAGCACAAAGUAAAAAUGGAGCGGGUAAGGUCAUUGAACCCAACAGAAUACUAAACAAGGAGAUGAAGCCAAGCAGUAAGAAGAAAACAAAUGAACAAUCUGCUUCUCUGGAAAAUGCAAGGAGGGUCAAAAAGCAUCCUUGGUCUCCCACGGAGGUUGCUGCGAUAAUGAAUUAUUUUGGCGAACAUAUCAAAAAAGGAAAACUGGCCACUAUUAUCGAAUGCCAGCAAUGCAAAACUGCAGAAGAUCCUGCUCUGGCUGGUCGUUCUAUUCAAAACAUCAGAGAUUUUGUGAGGAAUCGGGGCGUGUCGUUGAAGAAAAAAGAAAAUCCUAUGUAGAGGAGUCUACAUAACUCCAAAGUACUUCUUGGAGGAGUUACAAAAGAUAUUUUGUAUGUUUUGGUUUCUCAUUUAUUUAUUUUAGAAUUUUACUAUUAGAAGAUUGGUAAAUUCAUUUUGUUGACACUGUUUUAGUGCAUCUGAUCUAAGAGGACAUAUAAUUUUAUAUUGCCAGUUAUUUUCAUUUCUGUUAACAAAACAAUCCUGUUUUUGUAAAAUGCACUCAAUUUGUUCCUUUUAUUCACCUGUUGCCCUUUUAAUACACACAAAAUACAUGUUUGUGUAUGUGUAUGGCCUUUGUCCUGUUAAUAAAGUUAGCCCUGACAAUUACUGUUCAUGUCAGGGGGAGGAGCCAAGUUACCUAAUUAGUGUUGUCCUCUUAUUACACCAUGUUGUCAGGUUCUUAUAUUUUGAGUUCUGGUGUGUUUUUCACAAUUUUGAAGUGAGAUUUGUGUUGUACAACUCAAAUGGGAUUUUUAAAGAUGCACUUCAUCUAUCUAGCACAAGCGGAAAGGGGGGUCCGUUUAGUGUUGCAAAAAUCUUGUUUGAAAAAAUUGUCCUUCCAAUUCACCUUUACCAGUAUAUGUGUGUGUGUGUGUGUGUGUGUGUGUGUGUGUGU